AUUAAGAUCAAUGAUUUAUUCAUUAGUUAUUGAGGUUUAAAUCUAUUAUAGAAAUUACUGGGAUUUGAUUAGGGAUUGGUUUAAGGUUUAGAAUUUGGUUAGGAUUUGAUUUAGGAUUAGGAUUUGGUAAGGGUUUGAUUUAGGAUUUAGGAUUUGGUUUAGAGUUUGUUUAGGGUUUUAUUUAGGAUUUAGGAUUUAGUUAGGGUUUAGUUUAGGAUUUAGGGUUUGAUUUAGGAUUUGAUUUAGGAUUUAGGAUUUGAUUUAGGAUUUGGUUGGGAUUUGGUUUAAGAUUUUUUUAGGAUUUGGUUUAGGAUUUAGGAUUUGAUUUAGGGUUUAGGAUUUUAUUAGGGUUUAAGAUUUAAUUAGUUUUAACCUAAAGUUUGAAUGAAGUCCAAUAGGAUUUUAAUAAGAAUUAAAUUAAGAUUGAAUUGAGAUGAAUUUGAGACAUAUUUGUGAUCAUUCUAAUAUUUCUUUAAGAUUUUUUAUUAUUUCUUUGAAAUUUCUUUGAGGUUUUUUUGAAUUUGAUUAAAGCUUGCUUAACAUUAUUAUGGUCUAAUUAGAGUUUAGUUAGUAUUCUAUUAUAGUUAGGAUUUUGUUGUUGCAAUUUUCAUUCUACCUUCCACAGCCAAGUGCUCGAAGCAUUCUCAAGUAAGACUUCACGUAUUAUGACAACGGUCAAUCCUUAGAUAUCAAUCUAACCUAUUCUAAGGGAUUUUUAGUCCAAUCUUACCCUCAACUUAAUCCUA
rnacentral:lncRNA from 1 species